GUGAGGCCACCGGGGGUUCUACACAUCGUCCAUCUCCCGUGCCCCACCCUUCACUAACGCAACAGCAGCCCGCUUUCAGCAAACAUUCACUGUGGCAAACAUUCUGACACACUCACAACUUCAGGAAGCCCAGGAGAGUUCCUUCCAUCAACACAGGCCUAGCUGGAACUGGACACACAUUUGGCCUAAAUCCUCUCCCCCUACCCCUCAGCUGUGGUGUCUUAGGGGCUCUGUUCUCUCACAUCUACCUGUGUUUGGACAUGUUCUCCUGCAGGGAUGACAGAGUCACCCAGUGCACGCCCAAAGGCCCAGCGGCAGGGCUGGCAGCACACGAGGAGGGUCCUGCUCAUCUGGACUUUGCAGGAUCAAUAAGAGUUCUUCAGUGUGAGCAACUGUGGGGUCAGACAUACACUGACCCAUCGACUGUCACCUGCACUGGCCGUUCAUCAGCUACGAGGUCUGGGCACCGCAGCAGAAAACAGAGUGAGCUGAAGCCCACACUACCCCCAAGAAAUGUUGACAGGCCCCCUGAGGCUGCAGCACAGCUGGGAGGGGAAAGAAGCAGCUAGAGCAGGGGCUGGUCAGGGAUGCUGCGCUGGCGAGUUCUGAUCACAUCCCAGGAGGUGUAAGCGAAGUGACAGGCUCCGAGGCAGCCACUGCAGUGAUCCAGGAGGUGGCUUGGCUGAGGGAGUGGCCAUGGGCAGACGGUGGAGGCCGAGGGGCCCCCAUCCCAAGAUGUGCAAAAAAAGUGUGUUGGCCUCGAGAGCCUCUGGGACGUAGGAACAGAAAAGCAGAAAUGGGCGGGCCCAAGGUCUCUGCUAAGAUGACGGGGUCUUCGAUAGAGCACUGAAUGCAACCUCCGAGGAGUAGUAGCCCCGGGAAGAGAGGGGUUCGGGCUUGGUAAGCUGGCAGGGGCGGCUAGGGCUUGGGGUAUAGAUGUGUUCUGAAUCUUUGAAGUGGUUAUAUUUUCCAGGGACAUCUGAGAAGCAGAAAGCUGGAAUUACCCACACCCUCGUGUGGGGGGAAGGAAACACUGAGGCAGCGUGGCCUGGUGCAGAAAGGCUCAUAAAGUCAUGGGGGCUUUAGCAGCUAUACACACGGUGAGGAGGGAAGUGGGGACCAGAGUGAGUGGGCGGAGGAGGGGGAGGAGUCUGCAAGCAGAAAGGAGCUGAGAUUGGCAGCAGCCAGGUAUGUGCCUGGGGGCGUUUGCCAGCUCCUGAGCGAGACCAGUGUGAUACACUGCAAUUCCCACCCGUCAGGGAGAUGGUGUCAUUUUUCAUUUUCCCCCCCUUUCUUCCGCCUCCCCCCACACUCCGGUUCAAGCCGUUGUUUCUCAGUCUAGUUGUGCAGGACACAGCUCCCUGGCCCAUGCUGGUAUUAUGAGCCUUGCGCUCCCCCUGGCUGAGACAGGCAGGCCGACGCUGGUCGGCCCCGCUCACAGUAGCCCACAGUGGCUCUCGCUGGCUGCCAGCCACUCACAAUGGCUGCUGGCCACUCCUGC